AUUGAACGCUGGCGGCAGGCCUAACACAUGCAAGUCGAACGAGCGGCGGAAGGGUGAGAAAUGUGUGGGGAAUGUCCGAUAGAGGUGGAUAACACUUGGAAACACUAGCUAAUCUCGCACACUAUCGUAUUCCCCAUAUGGGAUUAGCUAGUAGGUGUGGUAAUGGCUCACCUAGGCGACGAUCCCUAGCUGGUCUGAGAGGAUGAUCAGCCACACUGGGACUGAGACACGGCCCAGACUCCUACGGAGGCAGCAGUGGGGAAUAUUGCACAAUGGGCGCAAGCCUGAUGCAGCCAUGCCGCGUGUAUGAAGAAGGCCCUAGGGUUGUAAAGUACUUUCAGUCGGGAGGCGUUACCUACAGAAGAAGCACCGGCUAACUCCGUGCCAGCAGCCGCGGUAAUAC
rnacentral:rRNA from 1 species